rnacentral:lncRNA from 1 species
UGCUGCUUCAUCUUUCAUUAGGUCUUCAUAAACCUCCCCACCUUCAUCUUCUCCAUAGACACAAUCAUACAGCUCCUCAUCUUCAUCAACACCAGUUUCAUCUAUCAAAUCAGGAAGACAUUUGUAGACAUCUUCAUCAUCAACACUUUCUUCUGUGGGGAAGGGCCUUAUUCCUGUGCCUAUUGCAAUAGGAGUGCGGGAAAGUUUUGAGAGUGUUUCAAUCACCUUUCCGAAGUCUCUCACAUCAAACAAAUCGAAUGCUUCAAAAAGUUCACUUUUCUUCAUCCCAAAUAUUUCACAACAUGCCGAAAGAAAAGUCCUUAUGUUCUUCAAGCAGAGAAACUGGGACAUCUGCGGGCGCAAGUUGAUCUCCUUGAGGUUGAUGGAGUGGCUGCGCAGGUUGUUGAGCAGCUGGCACAGCAGCACGCCAUCGCGCAGCGUCUGCGCCAGGUCGAAGACCUGGGCCGUCUCCCAGGUGACCCGGUGGUUGGGCGGCAGCACCUUGCAGCUGAUCAGCCACUGCCCGCACUGCUUCCACGGCUCCAUCCCCGCCACGCUGCGGCCGCGGCGGCCCCCGCUGCGCCCUCC